UACAGAGGUCUCAAGCGUUGUUCGGAUUCAUUGGGCGUAAAGGGUGCGUAGGUGGCGCCGUAAGUCGGGUGUGAAAUUUCGGAGCUUAACUCCGAAACUGCAUUCGAUACUGCGGUGCUUGAGGACUGGAGAGGAGACUGGAAUUCAUGGUGUAGCAGUGAAAUGCGUAGAGAUCAUGAGGAAGACCAGUGGCGAAGGCGGGUCUCUGGACAGUUCCUGACACUGAGGCACGAAGGCCCAGGGAGCAAACGGG
rnacentral:rRNA from 1 species